rnacentral:rRNA from 1 species
GGAACAAAGGAGCUUGCUUCUAUCACAUUAGCGGCGGAGGGUGAUUAACACGUGGGCGACCUGCCUGUAGACUGGGAUAACUCCGGGAAACCGGAGCUAAUACCGGACAACAUUUUUUCUUGCAUAAGAGAAAAUUGAAAUAUGGUUUCGGCUAUCACUUACUGAUGGGCCCGCGGUGCAUUAGCUAGUUGGUGAGGUAACGGCUCACCAAGGCAACGAUGCAAAGCCGACCUGAGAGGGUGAUCGGCCACACUGGGACUGAUACACGGCCCAGACUCCUACGGGAGGCAUCAGUAAGGAAUCUUCCGCAAUGGACGAAAGUCUGACGGAGCAACGCCGCGUGAGUGAUGAAGGCUUUCUGGUCGUAAAACUCUGUUGUUAGGGAAGAACAAGUACAAAAGUAACUGCUUGUACCUUGACGGUACCUAACCAGAAAGCCACGGCUAACUACGUGCCAGCACCCGCGGUAAUACCUAUGUGGCAAGCGUUAUCCGGAAUUAUUGGGCGUAAAGCGCGCGCAGGCGGUUUCUUAAGUCUGAUGUGAAAGCCCACGGCUCACCCGUGGAGGGUCAUUGGAAACUGGGGAACUUGAAUGCAGAAGAUAAAAGCGGAAUUCCACGUGUAGCGGUGAUAUGCGUAA